GUUACUUCAUAUAGAUACAACAAAAACGUGAUUUCCAAGUGAUUUUGGUAGCACGUCACUUGCAAUUGUAAGGAAUAAAAGUAUAAUUCUUUCCAAGGACGACAUACGGAUUUAGCAUACCGCUUCGAUUACGUUAUUUUAUUUUGUUGCGUUGUUGAAUUCGGGCUUUUUUCGUAAUGAAGUAAGGCGGAAGAAGAUUAUUUCUUGAAAUAUAAGAUGAUGACUUGGUUUGUAUGUGGUCACUCACUACUCUGCUCGUGCAUGCUGUCAUUACGUCUUCCACCGAGUUCCGGGCCGGGUACAGAUAGUCGGUUUGGUGACCCUUCAGCAUAGGACUUCUACUCAGCUGUCUUGGAGAGCUCCAUUGUUCCGGAGCCUAGAGUUUUGGUACAGAUCUUUUGAUGUAUAUAUACAUUCAUCCAGGGGUACGGCGGGGCCCUGUCCCGUCAUAUUUCACUAUUGAUACUCUUAGAGGUCUGUAGACAUAUGUGUGGGUUGUGUAUAAGUUCAUUCGGCUGUGUCUAUCCGAUGUGCUAUGGAUAUGUUCGUCUGUAAUGGCAACUUUGUCGGCUUGCGUAUGGCAUUGAUAUUUCAUGGCAUCCUUAUCAGCUUGCGUAUGGUAUUGAUAUGUAGUGGCAGCCUUGUCGGCUUGCGUAUCAUGUUAUGUUUUGAUUAGUUGUGACUCCUCAGGAGACAGGUUA